GACGAACGCUGGCGGCGCGCUUAACACAUGCAAGUCGAACGGAAAGGCCCUGCUCUUGUGGGGUGCUCGAGUGGCGAACGGGUGUGUAACACGUGAGUAACCUGACCCUGACUUUGGGAUAAUUUCAGGAAACUGGGGCUACUACCGGCUAGGAGCUCCUGCUGCUUGGUGGGGGUUGGCACGUUUCGGCGGUUGGGGAUGGACUCGCGGCUUAUCAGCUUGUUGGUGGGGUAGUGGCUUACCAAGGCUUUGACGGGUAGCCGGCCUGAGAGGGUGACCGGCCACAUUGGAACUGAGAUACGGCCCAGACUCCUACGGGAGGCAGCAGUGGGGAAUAGUGCACAAUGGGCUGAAGCCUGAUGCAGCAACGCCGCGUGCGGGAUGACGGCCUUCGGGUUGUAACCCGCUUUCGCCUGUGACGAAGCGUGAGUGACGGUAAUGUGUAAAGAAGCACCGGCUAACUACGUG
rnacentral:rRNA from 1 species